UACAGAGGUGGCAAGCGUUGUUCGGAAUUACUGGGCGUAAAGGGCGCGUAGGCGGUUCGUUAAGUCCUGUGUGAAAUCCCCCGGCUCAACUGGGGAACUGCACAGGAAACUAGCGGGCUUGAGUUCGGGAGAGGGAAGCGGAAUUCCGGGUGUAGCGGUGAAAUGCGUAGAUAUCCGGAGGAACACCGGUGGCGAAGGCGGCAUCCUGGACUGGUCCUGACACUCAUGAGCGAAAGCGUGGGGAGCGAUCCGG
rnacentral:rRNA from 1 species